GCAGCCUCCUGAGUAGCUGGGAUUACAGGCACCUGCCAUCACACCCGGCUAAUUUUUGUAUUUUUAGUAGAGAUGGGGUUUCACCAUGUUGGUGAUGUAGUCUAUAAAUAGUAUAUAUAUGUUAAUAUCAUAUCCCUACUACUACGUUAAAAGCAGGUAAAAAACAGAGAAUGACCUUCCUUAAUACAUCUUUAAUAUCUUAUAAUUUAAAAGUCCAAGUCAAAAGACAUCAUCAAAUGACAACUAGUGUUUUACCAAAGAAUAUUUAAUCAUCUAAUUUAUCUUUUCCCAAUGAUAUAAAGAAAUAGAAAAGAGAUUAAGAACCUAUUGAAUGUUGAAUGAUCUUUGCAACAUAAGAGUAAGAAUGACUUCUUUUCAGUAUUUCCUACGUGUCUGACAUGGAGCUAAGUGUUUUAUGUCCAUUACCUUGUUUAAUCCCUCAAUGACUCAACAAAAUGGCGG
rnacentral:lncRNA from 1 species